rnacentral:rRNA from 1 species
GACGAACGCUGGCGGCGUGCUUAACACAUGCAAGUCGAACGGAAAGGCCCUGCUUUUGUGGGGUGCUCGAGUGGCGAACGGGUGAGUAACACGUGAGUAACCUGCCCUUGACUUUGGGAUAACUUCAGGAAACUGGGGCUAAUACCGGAUAGGAGCUCCUGCUGCAUGGUGGGGGUUGGAAAGUUUCGGCGGUUGGGGAUGGACUCGCGGCUUAUCAGCUUGUUGGUGGGGUAGUGGCUUACCAAGGCUUUGACGGGUAGCCGGCCUGAGAGGGUGACCGGCCAAAUUGGGACUGAGAUACGGCCCAUACUCCUACGGGAGGCAGCAGUGGGGAAUAUUGCACAAUGGGCGGAGGCCUGAUGCAGCAACGCCGCGUGCGGGAUGACGGCCUUCGGGUUGUAAACCGCUUUCGCCUGUGACGAAGCGUGAGUGACGGUAAUGGGUAAAGAAGCACCGGCUAACUACGUG